UACGUAGGGUGCGAGCGUUGUCCGGAAUUACUGGGCGUAAAGAGCUCGUAGGCGGCCAACUAAGUCAGACGUGAAAUCCCUCAGCUUAACUGGGGAACUGCGUCUGAUACUGGAUGGCUUGGAUUCGGGAGAGGAAUGCGGAAUUCCAGGUGUAGCGGUGAAAUGCGUAGAUAUCUGGAGGAACACCGGUGGCGAAGGCGGCAUUCUGGACCGAUAUUGACGCUGAGGAGCGAAAGCCAGGGGAGCAAACGGG
rnacentral:rRNA from 1 species